rnacentral:tRNA from 1 species
UAGAAAGUAAGCUAAUAAAGCUGUUGAGUUCAUACCUCAAACAUAACUGUAGUUCUUUCUAA